rnacentral:tRNA from 1 species
CGCGAAGUAGAGCAGCGGUAGCUCGUCGGGCUCAUAACCCGAAGGUCGGGAGUUCGAACCUCCCCUUCGCAACAA